GCAGUGGUGGUUCAGUGGUAGAAUCCCCGCCUUCCACCCAGGAGACCCAGGUUCAAUUCCUGGCCAAUGUA
rnacentral:tRNA from 1 species